UUGCCAUUUCCAUAGCGGAGGAAAAGAAACUAACAAGGAUUCCCCUAGUAACGGCGAGCGAAGCGGGAAGAGCUCAAAUUUGAAAGCUGGCACCUCCGGUGUCCGCGUUGUAAUCUCGAGACGUGUUUUCCGUGCGGCUCUAUGGACAAGUCCCUUGGAACAGGGCAUCGUAGAGGGUGAAAAUCCCGUACUUGCCAUGGAUGUACCGUGCUUUGUGAUACACGCUCUAAGAGUCGAGUUGUUUGGGAUUGCAGCUCAAAAUGGGUGGUAGACUCCAUCUAAAGCUAAAUAUCGGGGAGAGACCGAUAGCGAACAAGUACCGUGAGGGAAAGAUGAAAAGCACUUUGGAAAGAGAGUUAAAAGUACGUGAAAUUGUCGAAAGGGAAGCGCUUGAAGUCAGCCAUGCUGCGCGGACUCAGCCCGGCUGAUGCCUGGUGUAUUUCCCAGCAGCAAGUCAGCAUGGAUUUGGAUCGCCGGAGAAGGGUGGGAGGAAUGUGGCACCCUCGGGUGUGUUAAGCCUCCUACUGGAUACGGCGAUUUGGAUCCAGGAACGCAGUGUGCCUCUGGCGGGUCUUCGGACACCUUCACACUUAGGAUGCUGGCGUAAUGGCUUUAAGCGGCCCGUCUUGAACCGGGACCAA
rnacentral:rRNA from 1 species